AUUGAACGCUGGCGGCAGGCCUAACACAUGCAAGUCGAGCGGAUGAGGGGAGCUUGCUCCCUGAUUUAGCGGCGGACGGGUGAGUAAUGCCUAGGAAUCUGCCUGGUAGUGGGGGAUAACGUUCCGAAAGGAACGCUAAUACCGCAUACGUCCUACGGGAGAAAGCCGGGGACCUUCGGGCCUUGCGCUAUCAGAUGAGCCUAGGUCGGAUUAGCUAGUUGGUGAGGUAAUGGCUCACCAAGGCGACGAUCCGUAACUGGUCUGAGAGGAUGAUCAGUCACACUGGAACUGAGACACGGUCCAGACUCCUACGGGAGGCAGCAGUGGGGAAUAUUGGACAAUGGGCGAAAGCCUGAUCCAGCCAUGCCGCGUGUGUGAAGAAGGUCUUCGGAUUGUAAAGCACUUUAAGUUGGGAGGAAGGGCUGCUGGUUAAUACCCUGCAGUUUUGACGUUACCAACAGAAUAAGCACCGGCUAACUUCGUG
rnacentral:rRNA from 1 species